UGUCCCUCAUGGCAAGCCCCCACCCUAGCUCUGUGCCCAUGUAAAUAGAGGAAUCACCAGGGAAAUUAAACAUCAGAAGUUACAUGGAGAGAAAGUUAGAUUAGACCUCCUUCGGGCCAUUUCCCUCAGUUUUCUCUCACACCCUUCCUGUGAUUUCAGAGCUCCUAGACAUAUUGAUUGCUACGCCAUAUGAGAUAUCUGGCUCUAAUCAUAGCCAAACAAAGAUUCUUCACUGUAAGGUGCAAGAAGCCUCACAAUGGACAAUUAUGUAAAUUUCCCCUGUGGGGACCUGCUUAUUUCCAAUCCCAAGCAGUUAGUGGAUGGUUUAUGCUUUGAAGUAUGAGGGUCUCUAACUCUUACAUUGUUUAAAAAAAUUCUAGCAACGGUAACUGGGGAUGUUCCUAUUAUUUAUCUAAAGACCUAGUCCUUUUUAGACUCCUGCACCUGAAUUUAAAUUCCAAGCAGAGGACUGAGAGCCAGAAGCUCCAAAGCUCCUAUCCAGACAGUGGCAGCAAUCUCCUCCUUGGAUCUGACUUGUCAUCUUGUUCGACUUACAUGAGGAGAGAGGAAAAGAGCUGAACUCAGAUUGCACUUUUCCAAGGCAAUGUGAAGAAAGAAUGAAGGAAAUUAGAGAUGGGAUAGAUCCUCUGAUGUCAUCCAGUCUGUCUCCUCUGGGGGCCAGUUCAGUACACUUGGUUGAGUGUUCCAAGCCUUCUCAGGACUAGGUGUGCUAGAGUUCUUGACUUACAAAUUCCAGUGCCUGCCUCCCUGUUCUCCGACAUUAUCCAAAGAAAAAGUUGGAAGAUGAACAUUCCCAAUCCAGCCAGGGUCCUUGCUCACAAAGAAUGGCAUGCAGCAGCGAGUUCUUUGUGCACUUCCAAAUGAGCUACAUGGACCAGCUAGGGGAAGGGGAGAAAUCUCACCGUAUGGGUGAUUUGGCUGAUUUGAAGAAAUAACAAUAAAAUCCUCCACAUUCAUCAGGCCCAAGAAUUUAAUUUUUAAAAUACCAAAGUGCCCACUUGGAAAUGGCCCAGGCAUCUAGUGAAAGCACGGACUGUGCCAGGCAGAGAGCAGGCUUCAGAUCUGUCUUUAACCCAGCUGGCAAAGAAGGGGAGUGAUGCAGAAAUGGAGGUGGGGAGGCUCAUGUAAUAGGGGAAGGAAGCCCUCCUGCUAGCCCAGCAGUGCUGUGAUGAGAGCUGCACUCAGAAGAGGGAAAUGGGGAAUAUCUUGCAAGACAACUCCCACCUGAA